UUUAACUAGUGUUUUGCUAAGUUUAGGUAGCUUUUGCGACUUUUAACUAGUGUUUUGUUACUUAGCGAGGCUUUAGCAAGCAUUUGGUUCUUUUUAGCCUUCAGCUGGUGUUCUACUUUUUUUAGCUUUAACAAGUCAGCUUCAGCUUUUUCAGCAAGUUUCAGCUCUCAGCGUUCUUACUGCAGCUUUAGCUAAUUUUACAUGGAAACUUUAAAACUAAUGUUACAAACCAAGUUUCGAAAUCUGCACUGACGUAGAUAUUUUGUGUGCGUGUUUGUUGUUGCGAUGUGACCCUGGUCCCCGUUGGACCUCGUUAAAUUGCAGAAAGCUGCACCGAAGGCCGACACAUGUUUUCUCAGAGCCUGUGUGUUGCACGGGAGAGAAAAAAAAUGUACACUCCACACCCACUUGUUGCCCUUCGUGAACCUUCAUGGUCCUCAGCCAUACCUCGACUGUGUGGAGAGGACCGCAGGAAGGAGAAACAUCUGCAGGAGGAACCUCUCCUUCUGCUAAAUAAACAAACCGAUGACACAUUCCUGUGGUGUUCUCUGUAUUUGCUUUUUUGGACCAUCUUGUCAUUUAAAAUUAUUUAUAUCUUUUAAAAUAUUUACAGAUUUUACAUAUGCAUAGUCAGUACCACAUGCCAAACGUUGUCUGAAUUCCAACCUGAAGUCUCCAACAAAGAGCUGCACAGCAGGAAAAAUUGGUUUAACAGCUGCUUUUAAAAGGAAAAAAAUGUGACUCUUAUCAGCAGUUUCGUCAACACACGCUGUGGCGAAAGACUCGAGUUUAAGGCAACAAGAGCAGCUGACAUGUUCCAGCUGUCUCCUCUCAUCUUCCUUUGUUCUACUCCUGCAGAGUCUCAGAGGCGUGUGCCAGAUGCCUGCUUUUCUUCAGAGGGGCCCUCAAAUUCAAAUCAGAGCAGCUGGGAAGUGCUUCAGCAAGAGGAAGAGGAGUGGCCGAACAUCGGGGGAGAUUUUAAAGACAUAAUGGGGGUGAGGGGGGUGAGGGUGGGGGUCGUAAUGUGGCACACGCCUUUAACAGAGAAACCCCAAACCUUUCCAUCUUUGAUCCAAACAGGCGUUGUGAGGUCUGCAGGAUGGGGGUUUUCCUGCACAUAUGGCUAGUUUUUUUUUUUUUUUUUUUUUCCUGUGGGUGUGAAGGCUCAGGAGCAGGGUGGGGAGGAGGCGGCUGAAGUGACAGCAGGUCGUCUGAUGCAGCAGGGCUUGUUGAAGGGGAGCGAGGCUGACACUUUUCUUUGUUAGAUAACAGCCCCGGCCUGCAUUCAUUCAAUGCCAAGAUGUGAUUUUCUACAGUGUGAUGCUGACCCUGGCAUUUCAAAUAGGCUCACAAUGAAAACAUAUUUAUAAUAUUUGCAGGCGACAACGCAAAUCAUUUAAAUUUGCAAAGCUCAGCAGCUUUUGAAAACUCAUGGAGCUCAGAGCUUUUAUGCUUUCCACCCAACUAUCAACGUAUUUGUGAUUUCAGAAAGUCUUCAGUCCUGGUGUUUUUCUCAGUUUGUAGCAUCACAGUGUUCAUACUCACUUGCAAAAGGGCAGAAAGUAGAGUAAUUGUGACAAAACUCCAUCUCCUGAUGGUUUAGAGGUUAAAGGUUAAAGUUGUAUAUUAGAUUUAAAAUCAACUCUUCUCUUCAGCUGAAUGUUGUUUGAGCGUUAUGCUAACAGCUAUUAGCAUGUUGGAAAGCAAAUGUUCAAAUUCGCUUCAAUUUUUUGUUUGUUUGUUUAUGUGGCC